CAGCCUGAUGCAGCCAUGCCGCGUGUAUGAAGAAGGCCUUCGGGUUGUAAAGUACUUUCAGUUGUGAGGAAGGGUGUGUAGUUAAUAGCUGCAGCAUCUUGACGUUAGCAACAGAAGAAGCACCGGCUAACUCCGUGCCAGCAGCCGCGGUAAUACGGAGGGUGCGAGCGUUAAUCGGAAUUACUGGGCGUAAAGCGCAUGCAGGUGGUUCAUUAAGUCAGAUGUGAAAGCCCGGGGCUCAACCUCGGAACUGCAUUUGAAACUGGUGAACUAGAGUACUGUAGAGGGGGGUAGAAUUUCAGGUGUAGCGGUGAAAUGCGUAGAGAUCUGAAGGAAUACCAGUGGCGAAGGCGGCCCCCUGGACAGAUACUGACACUCAGAUGCGAAAGCGUGGGGAGCAAACAGGAUUAGAUACCCUGGUAGUCCACGCCGUAAACGAUGUCUACUUGGAGGUUGUGGCCUUGAGCCGUGGCUUUCGGAGCUAACGCGUUAAGUAGACCGCCUGGGGAGUACGGUCGCAAGAUUAAAACUCA
rnacentral:rRNA from 1 species